rnacentral:misc_RNA from 1 species
CUGAAUUGUCGACACGAGUUGUUGCUGGUCCUCAAAUGGGGGCAUGUGCACGCUCUGUUUACACAUCCACUCACACCUGUGCACCCUCUGUAGUUCUAUGGCCUGAGGGACGAUGUCCACUUGCCAUGGUUCUAUAUCUUUACACACACACACCAUGAUAAAGUCUUAUGGAAUGUAUGCCGCGUUUAACGCAAUACAAUA